rnacentral:rRNA from 1 species
UUCCGGUUGAUCCUGCCGGAGGUCACUGCUAUCGGUGUUCGACUAAGCCAUGCGAGUCAAAUGUUCUUCGUGAACAUGGCGUACUGCUCAGUAACACGUGGAUAACCUGCCCUUGGGACCGGCAUAACCCCGGGAAACUGGGGAUAAUUCCGGAUAACGCAUAUUUGCUGGAAUGCUUUAUGCGUCAAAAGGAUUCGUCUGCCCAAGGAUGGGUCUGCGGCCUAUCAGGUAGUAGUGGGUGUAAUGUACCUACUAGCCAGCGACGGGUACGGGUUGUGAGAGCAAGAGCCCGGAGAUGGAUUCUGAGACAUGAAUCCAGGCCCUACGGGGCGCAGCAGGCGCGAAAACUUUACAAUGCGGGAAACCGUGAUAAGGGGACACCGAGUGCCAGCAUCAUAUGCUGGCUGUCCGGAUGUGUAAAAUACAUCCGUUAGCAAGGGCCGGGCAAGACCGGUGCCAGCCGCCGCGGUAACACCGGCGGCCCGAGUGGUGAUCGUGAUUAUUGGGUCUAAAGGGUCCGUAGCCGGUUUGGUCAGUCCUCCGGGAAAUCUGAUAGCUCAACUAUUAGGCUUUCGGGGGAUACUGCCAGACUUGGAACCGGGAGAGGUAAGAGGUACUACAGGGGUAGGAGUGAAAUCUUGUAAUCCCUGUGGGACCACCUGUGGCGAAGGCGUCUUACCAGAACGGGUUCGACGGUGAGGGACGAAAGCUGGGGGCACGAACCGGAUUAGAUACCCGGGUAGUCCCAGCCGUAAACGAUGCUCGCUAGGUGUCAGGCAUGGCGCGACCGUGUCUGGUGCCGCAGGGAAGCCGUGAAGCGAGCCACCUGGGAAGUACGGCCGCAAGGCUGAAACUUAAAGGAAUUGGCGGGGGAGCACAA